rnacentral:rRNA from 1 species
GACGAACGCUGGCGGCGUGCUUAACACAUACAAGUGGAAAGAGAUGAUUCAAAGCUUGCUUAGAAGAGUCGAGUGGCAAACGGGUGAGUAACGCGUAGACAACCUGCCGCAAAGAUGGGGACAACAGUCCGAAAGGACUGCUAAUACCGAAUGUUGUCAGUUUUUCGCAUGGGAGACUGAUUAAAGAUGGCCUCUACUUGUAAGCUAUCGCUUUGCGAUGGGUCUGCGUCUGAUUAGCUAGUUGGUGGGGUAACGGCCUACCAAGGCGACGAUCAGUAGCCGGUCUGAGAGGAUGAACGGCCACAUUGGAACUGAGACACGGUCCAGACUCCUACGGGAGGCAGCAGUGGGGAAUCUUCCGCAAUGGGCGAAAGCCUGACGGAGCAACGCCGCGUGAGUGAAGAAGGGUUUCGGCUCGUAAAGCUCUGUUGACGGGGACGAACGUGCGAGAAUGCGAAUAGUUCUGCAAUGACGGAC